UCUGGUUUAGGAACCUCAGGCUUGGGAGUCUCCAUCAACUUAGUCCCCUCGUGCUUUGGAAAUUCAGGUAACUUGGGAAUGUCUAGUUUAGGGAGCUCCGGGAACUUAGGAACUUCGAAUUUAGGUAGCUCCGGGUGAGGAAGUUCAGGCAAUUUUGGUAACUCCAUGUGAGGUAGUUCGGGCAGUUUUGGUAUCUCCAUGUGAGGUAGUUCAGGCAAUUUGGGUAUUUCCGGUUUAGGAAUCUCCUCCACUAACCGGCGAGCUCCCACUGAAACCGGAUUAGCUAGCAAUGCAGUUAGACAGAUGAUGAGAAGUGGUGAUGAGAGGAGAAGAGCAAAGAGGCUCUUCUUCAUCAGUGCCAUGGUUCUGCUUGCUUGCUUGAAUGAAAAGUGUUUGCCUUCUUCUUCUUCUUCUUCUUCUUCUUUUGCUUUGAUGUGUGUUUGUUUGUUUUUGGUUUUUGAUGAGUUUUUGGUCUUUGAUUCGAAUGGUUAUUUAAAGGUGUUGAGAGGAAGAGGGAAGAUGAGUUUGGUGGGAAAAUAGUCUAUAUAAUUCAAAAAGUUCGUUUAACCUCUCUAUCUGUAUUCUAUCUAGUUGACUUUUAGAUCCUAAUGUUUACGUGUUCAUUUUUUUGUUACACGUCUAUCUUGAAAAUAAUCAUCAAUUAAACCAAGUUUAUUAACAAUCACUAAGAAAUCAAGUUUGAGGCUUGAUCAAUUGUGCCUUACAAAUAUCUAGCCAGUUGUGUUGAUUCUGACGAAUCAAAAUUUCAAGAUGAAUAUUUUUUGCACAUAAAUUUGGUAAAUUUGCAAGUACGAAACGAAAAGCAGCUUCAGAUUAAAGAAUGAAAGCAAACAACGUUUAGGUUGUGGUCGGUAAUCUACACAACGACUGUAGAUCCUUUUGCCUUGUGUGGUAUGUUAUGCUAUUUGUCAUCAAGUCAUUGAAGUACAAUAUAUUGUUUGAUAUAUUUGAUCUUCAGACAUAUUUUACAAAAGAAAGUUAUAGAAUUGGGUAUAACUUCAGCCGGUAACAACUUUCUUUCAAUAAAAUGUAUAAGCCAAAAUGAAACAAGUCUGAUCAGAAGCUUGCUACCUCUAAUCUGAGAAAACAAGUGUUGGUGCCUUACUUCCAUCGCAACUAUAUCAUCCGAAACCAGUUCUUGGAUAUGAUACAUAAAGGUUAUACAUAAGAUUACAUUACAUUGAUUCCACAAACGAAUCAAAGCUACAUCAUUUUCAACUACUAACAAUACAUAGGCCCGAGAACAUGCAACCACAAAACAAACAAGGACAUAAUAAAGGUCUUACUUUCACUAAGUAGCCUUGACCUUAUCAGCUACAACAACACAAAAGUAUUAACAUAUUUUUCAAGAACUCAUCAAGUUCCUCAAAAAACUCUAUCCUUUUGAUAUCAUCCUCCUUUCUUAUUCUUCUUUGCAUGAUCUCUCUCCUCAUCAUCAUCAGAUAUGUUAAUAUAUAACUCGUCACCACCAUCCUCCACGUCGUGAUAGUUUCUUGGAGCUGGUGUUUUAACAUUUGCCUGAUGAUGAUCAGCGCUUAGCACAGGGCAGUGGAAGAGAUGUGAAACCGGCGACCAACCAGAACCAGAGGUUUUAGCAUCACCUGAAAACCCUACCGGAAACAUAGCCCACGAACAGAAAAAGUAAACGCCCUGGCCAUUACUCUCCACCGGCGGCGUCUCCAUCUUAACCGCUUCAAACGCUCUCCCACACUGCUGACACCUCAACGCGCAUUCCUCGUAGCCCUUAGGGUACUCGAAAAGCGCGUAACAGUACGGACACGCCGUCCAAAAGCUCGCAGCAUUAGGACUCUCCGAGGUCUCAGCUAACUGCUCCCGUUGGCUUUGAGGUUGACCGAGUUGGUGGUCGUAGAUUGAUUUUCUCGGAGGAUCGGAGAGGACGCACCAAGCCUCAGCUUGAGCGCUUGGUCGGCGAAAGGGAGACGGUUCACAGUGGGGUUGAGGAGAAGAGCGAGUCUACGGUACUGAACCGCGACGCGUUCGAGGCUUUGGGUUAGUUUCUCGAGUCGGAGCACCGCGUACCAGUCAGGUAGUUUAGAAUCUCCGACGGUGGAUUCUCCGGCGAGGAGAGUGUCGGCGAUGGCGAUGAUGUAGUCUGCUGCAUGUGUUCGGGACGAGUCGUCUUCGCAUGCGCGGAUGGCUAAUGCCUUUGCUCCUUUGAAGUCACUUGAGGCUAGAAGCUCCUUCGAUGUGACUAGCCACCGAUCCGCCUCCGCUCCGUUAUCGUCGCCGCUGACCAUAUCUUUGUUUCUCAACCUUUGUUUUUGAGUAAAUACAGAACAGUGUUACUUUGCUAGUGGACCAACAAGACACUGUCGGACUAUACACAAUAUCUAUGGGUAGUUUUGUCAUUUCCACUAGGCCUCUCUAAACCGGCCGGUAUAUAGCAUACCAAUGAUUGUUAUUGAACUGAUCUCAAGUUUUUUUUUUGUCUUGGUCAACCAUUGUUAUUAGGACAAUUUUGCUUUCCCACAUCUUUGUCUGAAUAUAGUAAAUUUUGGGAGAUUUCUUUAACAAUUUCUUUACAUUUGAAGUUAUGAACCAAUAUAACUCCUGACAAUGCGGUUUUGAUUAUUAACGUGGAACAUUCUCAUGAGGUGAAACGGUAAGAUCGGAGGUGGUGGUAAAGACUGUAAUAACAGCCACACAUCAUCCUCUAUUUCUUUUUCUUCCCACGCAUUUUGUUUCUCUGAUAUAACAAAAACUAUUAGAGAUUAGAGAAGAAUUAAAGACGAUCGAUAAUAGAGAUUGGUUGCAACAAUGGAUGAAGAGUAUGAUGUGAUUGUUCUUGGUACUGGUCUCAAGGAGUGUAUUCUUAGUGGUCUCCUCUCUGUCGAUGGCCUCAAGGUUCUCUUUCAAUUCAAUUCCAAAUGCAUGAUUAUUUUUGUGCAUGAUCACAUGCAUGUAUACUAUAGCUUUAUUUUUACGUUUAGUUCUGGUUUUUGUUUUAGUUAUGAAUCUUAUGUCAGAUCAAUAGUUGAAUUGCCGCCUUUGGCAGUGAAGUAUAGUGCUCCAAUAAUAGCCUUUUGACCUUUGAACGAGAUUUUGUUUCGUAGACCAUGAAUGAUAUUAUAAGAUGAUUAGUGUGAAGUGUGUUAUUUUAGAAACACAUACAUAAAUACAUUUAUCUUUCAAAUAUGUAAUCAUCUAUAUAGGUACUGCAUAUGGAUAGAAACGACUACUAUGGAGGAGAAUCAAGCUCUCUUAACCUCACUCAGCUAUGGAAGCGUUUCAGGGGAAGUGACACUCCUGAAGAAAAUCUUGGAGCAAUUAGAGAAUACAAUGUCGAUAUGAUCCCAAAGGUAUGUACAUAUCUAUUAGUGAAUAUUCACAUAUAUGUAAUGUGAAUCGAUAAAUAAGGAGAUAAUGGUUUCUUGAUCUGCAGUUUAUAAUGGCUAAUGGACUCCUUGUUCAAACCCUAAUCCACACUGAUGUCACCAAGUAUCUUAACUUCAAAGCCGUUGAUGGCAGCUUCGUCUACAAUAAGGGCAAGGUAGUGAUUAAGUCUAUUUUUUUUACCUUAAAUAUAAGUAACUACUAGCUAGAGAUUUUGAUCAUCCGUACCAUUCAAACGUCAGAUCUAUAAAGUCCCAGCCACUGAUGUGGAAGCCCUAAAGUCGCCAUUGAUGGGACUAUUCGAGAAACGACGUGCGAGAAAGUUCUUCAUCUAUGUGCAAGACUACGAUGAGAAGGAUCCUAAGUCUCACGAAGGACUUGACCUUAGCAAAGUCACUGCUAGAGAGAUCAUCUCGUACGUCCAACUCAAAAUCAUUUCAUCAUUUGUUUCUUGCGUUACAAGCUUUGUCUCUCUGGUUUCUCUUUUCCCAAUAGGAAGUACGGACUUGAAGAUGAUACAAUCGACUUCAUCGGUCAUGCCUUAGCGCUUCACAAUGACGAUGACUACUUGGAUCAACCAGCCAUUGAUUUUGUUAAGAGAAUCAAGGUAAAGUGUUUUAUUUUCUUCUUGAAUAUGGAAAUGUUCUGAUCUCAAUGUGCAUUUUAUUGUUUGUUAUGUGGUAAAGCUCUACGCAGAGUCCUUGGCUCGAUUCCAAGGAGGGUCUCCUUACAUCUACCCACUGUAUGGUCUAGGAGAGUUGCCACAGGUCCGUGUUCACCUUAUUCUCAUGAAACAUGUUAGGUUUCAUCUUAAUUUAAGACCAUUUUCUAUGUUAAAAUCUCUGUUUAUAUUCUCAGGCUUUCGCGCGUUUGAGCGCUGUGUAUGGAGGGACUUACAUGCUGAACAAGCCUGAAUGCAAGGUUACACACCAUCCAUAAUUAAUCUCUUCUUUCUCGGUUUUGUUUAUUAGAAAUCUCAUAUCCAUAAAUGUAUAAGAUAGCUCGAAACUCAUGAAUAUCUUUAACAUUAUCCCUAACAGGUUGAGUUUGAUGGCUCCGGAAAAGCUAUCGGUGUCACUUCUGCAGGAGAAACUGCUAAAUGCAAGAAAGUUGUCUGUGAUCCUUCUUACUUGUCUGACAAGGUAACUCUAAACCCAUUUCACCUAUAAAGGUUGGUUCACCACUUGAUUCUCGCAAAGGCCUAGUAACGUUCUAAUAAGACGGUUUCCUUGUGUUUCAGGUUAAGAAAGUUGGGAAAGUGGCUCGAGCGGUGUGUAUAAUGAGCCAUCCUAUUCCAGACACCAACGACGCUCACUCGGUCCAAAUCAUUCUUCCACAGAAGCAGCUCGGACGCAAAUCAGACAUGUAAGAGAUUAUAAUCAAAAUUGUAAACUUUGAAAAAAUUAUUAUGUUUUGAAUUUUUAUUUGUUUAGAAUUAUGAAAAUAGAUAAUCACAAAAAAUAUACUUUUAUAACUAAAAUUAAAAACUUUGAAACAUGAGUAUAAUUUAGUACCACUACAACAAACGUAAUAAUUUCUUAGUUGUUAGUUAAAGUGAAGCCCGUAUGCUUGGUCUUCUCUUUCACUUUUGUUUUUGUUUAUAAUAAUUAACGAGCCAAAUAGUGGAAGUAAGUUUUAACUUUUUCUGGGUGGUUUCUUUAAUUAUUGUUUCAAAUUAUUUCCUUUAGGUGCGUGGGUGGGAUGUUUUGGAACAUUUACGAUGAUCAUAGGAUAAACACGUACAUACUUCAUUUUCUUGGGGUUUAAGAAAAAAACAAAUUACAUUAGAACUUUUGUUUGUUUACUUGUUCAGGAGUAUAUAGCUAGCUAAGAAAACACCAUUUUAUCCCAAUCGUUUUUACAUUUAGUGUAAGACUAUAUAGUAAAUAGUAAUAUUUUAAUAAGAAAUUUAACAAUUUGAGUAGCAUUACCCGUAUUUGAUUGAGAAAGGGAAUAAAGAAAAGAAAAAAGAAAAAGGGAAGCAAGUGAAUGAUUAAAGAAAUGCACGGGGAUUAAGUGCUUAAUUGCCUUGACGACUACUUUUUCCCAUCCUUUGUUUCUUUCUUGCUUUUUGAAUUUUUUUCUUCUAAAGAUUGAUUUCUUGUUACCUUGUUCAUGUGUUUUGUUUGAUUUGAUAUGAGGAUAGUUGUUACCGAGUGAGACCAGAGGAGGAGCUAUAUGAUUACUAUUUUCAAUAUGAUUUCAAACUACUUUAAAAUUUCUAAAUUUCUAGGAAACAAUUAUGCUAUCUGUUGAGAAAUAAUCAUUUAAAACAUGUUAAGAUAAGACUGCUGAAUAUGAUAUUUAAAUAUAAGCUUCACAUUGUCAAGGAAGACUAAGCUUUGCUAAGAUGAGUAGCCGUAUGAAAUUGGGUCUAUUCCCUAACUCAAGACUGAUAAAUGAGCCAUAAUUCUAUCCUAAAGUUGGGCAUAUUCACCAAAGUUGGACUGAUAAUUGCCCAUUUAAAGCUUUCAGUUUCUUUUUUUGGGCCAACGUAAGCUGUCAGAUAAGAAGACUUGGCAAAGCUCUCAACAUCUGGUGUACGUAAAAUAAAAUUUGUCAAAAGAAGUCAUAGAAAAAAUGAUGUUGAUACUAAUUUUUUUUUUUUUUUAAACAUUGCAUUCAUUCAAACCUACAAGGAUGAUACAUGGGUGAGAUACAAAGCCAGCAGCACACAUCAGUGUCUCUGGAAACAAAGCUGGACAAACCGAUGUUGAUACUAAUUACAAAACGUAAUAGUAAAAUAUAUAUUUUGUACCACAAGAAAAGCACACAAGCUACACGAGAGACUCAGUACAAAGACUAUUCAUUUCGAGACGUCAGUGACCCAAACAUGACAUGAAAAUGCAACAAUGCAUAAGUACUAUCUCGUGUUUCAUAAAACACAAACAAGCCUAUUAUUACACCAUAUACUUUUAUUUAUCAUUAUUCAGGCAAUAGCAGUGUAUAUAGAUUCCCUUUUAAUGUUCUCAAUCCAUUGAUCUAUGGCUUCUUGUUCGAACCACUAGAAGUUUCCUCGGAAAUAACACUUGUAGGUUUUGUCUUUUCAGUCUUUGGUAAACCGCCGUUAGUACCGGGAAAAGGGAAGCUUGGGAUCCACGAGGGGAAUUCAAAACUCCCUUCUUCUGACUCCUUUGGUGGCUCCUCUGGUUCCUCAGGAUCUUCUGGAAUCUCCGGCUCCUCCGGCUCUUCUGGAAUCUCCGGUUCCUCCGACUCCUCAAGCCUAUUAUAUUGUGGAAUCUUUGUGGCCUCUUCUUGUACCAGAGAGUGACCUAUUCUAGCAGCAAAAAUAGGUGUAGCAAACAAAAGGGACGACGAAAUAAAAACAAGGAAAAACAUAAAAGAGACAAGAAUAGGAAUGCGAAGAUUAAUCAUUUUUGUGAUAUGGUAUUUUCUCUUGAAUGGAAACCAGCUUGAAGGGUCAAGUAAUAUUGUGAGUGAACAGAGUCUGUGUUUUGGUAUUGUGUAACGAGUGAGUUGUUAUAUAUUACAUAGACGAGAGAGCUAUUUAUAAUGUAAUUUUCAUAGGUGUCAACAAAUAUGGUGAGAAGAACUCUAAUCACCAUUUUGAGUUUUUGAUGUUAGUCUUCAACAAACUCACCUAUAUUUUCAUUUAAUUUUACUUCUUAUAUGUAUAACUCCUUUACGUUUAAUUAGCUGAGAACUUAAAGUAGUUUACCUGUUCAAGUUAUAAACAUUAGACAUUACAAGAAAACUUGUAUAAUGGAUAGAUCAAUCUCACCUAUCUAGUCAAAAUAGAUAGAAACAAAAGAAGCUCCUCAAUCAAUUUUAAAAGUAUCCAAUUAGUAAAAUAUAUUUUAUAUAUAUGAGGAGCAAAAAUCAACUAAAUACAUUGUAAAAGUCUAAACCCCAUGGUGGUAUUAAAAAGGAAUUCACCAAAACAAUAGUAAUAGAUGUGAACUUCUUGUAAGGAUUCACUUGAGACUUGAGAGGGAUAAACGUAGAGGACUGUCACCGUGUGGCACCUUGACCAGGCAUGCUUAGCCGGUUUCAAGAGAUUGAGAGCUCUACGUGUAGUGUCUAAUCAUCUCUGGUUAAACAUUUCACACCAAUGAUGCUUCACAUCAUUUCAGGCAUAAUCACCAUGUUCUUUAAAUGUGUCCUCACUACUUCCUAUUUUUCCGUUUAACCAAGUUUUUUUUAUUUAAUAAACCUAAAGGAUCUUUGCCUGUUCAGAUGAAUAGAAUCGAUAUUCAUAAAAUUAGCCCGUAUUAUUUGAAACACGUGAACAAUUGUUUUUAGACAAAACGAUUAAUUAACAUAGAUAAGUAACACAAACCAUUAAAAGAGUAUAUGAAACACAUAAUGAAACAUACAAGUAUAACAGAUUACAAGUAUAAGUGUAUGAAGAAAGGCUAUCAGAUCAAACCAUAGACAUGGUUCCCUAAGUAACCGACGAUGAGAUAGACACACAAGACAAAGGUGAUAUAGUAAUCUAGAUCAUGGGCGUGGGCCUUAAAGUAGAUGGGCUUUCAUACAGUUCAAUAGGCUUAGUGAGUUCCAGGCACUUUUGGGAGUUCCGGCAACUUGGGAACUUCAGGCAUCUUAGGUAGCUCCGGUUUUGGAAUCUCCGGCAUUUUUGGAACCUCAGGUUUCUGAAUCUCCGGCAUCUUCGGCAACUCCGGCUUUGGAAUCUCUGCCAUCUUCGGCAAUUCCGGUUUUUGAAUCUCCGGCAUCUUUGGCAGCUCCGGCAACUUAGGAGCUUCAGGCUUUUGAAUUUCCGGAAUCUUUGGUAGCUCCGGUUUAGGAACCUCUGGUACUUUUGGUAGCUCCGGUUUAGGAAUCUCUGGUACCUUUGGUAGCUCUGGUUUAGGAACCUCUGGUACCUUUGGUAGCUCCGGUUUAGUAAUCUCUGGUACCUUUGGUAGCUCCGGUUUAGUAAUCUCUGGUACCUUUGGUAGCUCCGGUUUAGGAAUCUCUGGUACCUUUGGUAGCUCUGGUUUAGGAAUCUCCGGCACCUUUGGCAGCUCUGGUUUAGGAACCUCAGGCUUGGGAGUCUCCAUCAACUUAGUCCCCUCGUGCUUUGGAAAUUCAGGUAACUUGGGAAUGUCUAGUUUAGGGAGCUCCGGGAACUUAGGAACUUCGAAUUUAGGUAGCUCCGGGUGAGGAAGUUCAGGCAAUUUUGGUAACUCCAUGUGAGGUAGUUCGGGCAGUUUUGGUAUCUCCAUGUGAGGUAGUUCAGGCAAUUUGGGUAUUUCCGGUUUAGGAAUCUCCUCCACUAACCGGCGAGCUCCCACUGAAACCGGAUUAGCUAGCAAUGCAGUUAGACAGAUGAUGAGAAGUGGUGAUGAGAGGAGAAGAGCAAAGAGGCUCUUCUUCAUCAGUGCCAUGGUUCUGCUUGCUUGCUUGAAUGAAAAGUGUUUGCCUUCUUCUUCUUCUUCUUCUUCUUCUUUUGCUUUGAUGUGUGUUUGUUUGUUU
rnacentral:lncRNA from 1 species